UCGCGGCUUAUCACCGGCAGUCCCCCUAGAGUGCCCAACUCAAUGAUGGCAACUAGGGGCGAGGGUUGCGCUCGUUGCGGGACUUAACCCAACACCUCACGGCACGAGCUGACGACAGCCAUGCAGCACCUGUGUGCAGGUCCCCGAAGGGAAGGAAUCCGUCUCCGGAAGCCGUCCUGCCAUGUCAAGGGCUGGUAAGGUUCUGCGCGUUGCUUCGAAUUAAACCGCAUGCUCCACCGCUUGUGCGGGCCCCCGUCAAUUCCUUUGAGUUUCAGCCUUGCGGCCGUACUCCCCAGGCGGGGCACUUAAUGCGUUAGCGUCGGCACUCGGAGGGUCGCUCCCCCAAGCACCUAGUGCCCAUCGUUUACGGCGUGGACUAC
rnacentral:misc_RNA from 1 species